rnacentral:rRNA from 1 species
CUUGGUCAUUUAGAGGAAGUAAAAGUCGUAACAAGGUUUCCGUAGGUGAACCUGCGGAAGGAUCAUUACCGAGUGUAAUUGAGCGGGUUGUGCUGGCCCCUGUGGGCAAGUGCACACCCCUCAACCUUCUCUCCCACACACACCUGUGCGCUCUUGCGGUGUGGACGGUCCCCGAGUGCUCCCUGCAAAGGAGGUUUGGUUGUCGUCCGUACUGUUUUUUAAACAUCUUCACGUUGUCUUGUAUGUAUUGUCGGUAUGUCGGAACGAAAUAACAACUUUCAACAACGGAUCUCUUGGCUCUCGCAUCGAUGAAGAACGCAGCGAAAUGCGAUAAGUAAUGUGAAUUGCAGAAUUCAGUGAAUCAUCGAAUCUUUGAACGCACCUUGCGCCCAUUGGUAUUCUGAUGGGCAUGCCUGUUUGAGUGUCACGGUACUCUCGAACGCUACACCUUUGUUUGGGUGUCUGUGUUCGGUCUUGGACGGUUUUGCGGGCCCUUGCGGUCCGCUCCGGUCCGAAACUCAUUAGCUGAAGACUCUGGUUUGACCUUCUGAGGUUGGUUUGAGUGGCAAUUAAGUUGUCCACCGCCUCUCUUAGGUCUCCGAGCCUCCGCUCCUAGUCGUUGUCUGUCUUCUUCGGACGACCGUUCGAAUUUCGAACGCUUUGCGACUUGACCUCAAAUCAGGUAGGACUACCCGCUGAACUUAAGCAUAUCAAUAAGCGGAGGAAAAGAAACUAACAAGGAUUCCCCUAGUAACGGCGAGUGAAGCGGGAAGAGCUCAAAUUUGUAAUCUGGCGGUCUCAGCCGUCCGAGUUGUAGUCUAGAGAAGCGUUUUCUGCGUCGGACCGUGUACAAGUCUCUUGGAACAGAGCGUCACAGAGGGUGAGAAUCCCGUCUACGACACGGACUCCCGGUGCUCCACGAUGCGCUCUCCACGAGUCGAGUUGUUUGGGAAUGCAGCUCAAAACGGGUGGUAAAUUCCAUCUAAAGCUAAUAUUGGCGAGAGACCGAUAGCGAACAAGUACCGUGAGGGAAAGAUGAAAAGCACUUUGGAAAGAGAGUUAAACAGUACGUGAAAUUGUUGAAAGGGAAACGCUUGAAGUCAGUCGCGUCUGCUGGGACUCAGCCUGCUUUAUAGCAGGUGCACUUCCUAGCAUACGGGUCAGCAUCGGUUUUGUCCCUCGGAGAAGGGCGGGUUGAAUGUGGCACCUCCGGGUGUGUUUAUAGCUUCCCGUCGGAUGCGAGGGAUGGGACCGAGGAACUCAGCACGCCUCUACGGUCGGGGUUCGCCCACGCAACGUGCUUAGGAUGCUGGCGUAAUGGCUUUAAACGACCCGUCUUGAAACACGGACC